rnacentral:misc_RNA from 1 species
CAAACAUAUGCAUAUAAAGGAUUUGGAAGUUUUGACUUUCCUUCUCCUACUUUUGUUGGUAGAAGCAUAGUCCAUAUACAAUUCAAGGCAUCACUGAAGCUGUGGUUGAUAUGAAACAGCUAUUGGUGCAUUGGCAGAUUUACUAUUGAGUCAAAUCCUCUUUUACACCCCCCUCUCCCAGAUUUUGUGCAGUUAUCUACCAAUAACUCUUCACAUUUUCUAAGUUCAAUUCACCACAGCUACUAACUAACUUUAAUACAUCAGUACUGGCAUUGAG